CCAGAGCCAUAGAGCUAAAAAGAGUCGCGACACUCCCAUUGGACUCCGUUGUAGGCUGUUUGCCGCCCACUUCCGGGGUAUGCAGCCUCGCAUAGUUCCAAAAAGCCAUUUUAUGGCGUCGGACAUCAUUCACUUCCAUUGAUGACUCUCGAGUAACUUCUGAGGUAAGUUGAUUAAAUAGCUACCUGUUUUGAAUUGUCAACUGUCUAUAUUGUAUCAUAGGCCAUUUAUGAUGCAUAUUCUGAUCUUUUGUUGUAUGUACACAGCGUAAUUAUAUAUAUAUUUUUUAUCUUGGUAGACGACCGAUUGCCUGCUAGUUUGUUAGCUUGACUUGCCUUCUGUGAAGGUAACGUUAUAUCCAGGGGUAAAUUGAUAAAAUAGCUACCUAUUUUGAACUGUCAACUGUCUAUAUUUUAUCAGAGGUCCUUUAUGAUGCAUAUACUGAUCUUUAUUUGUAUGUACACAGCGUAAUUAUAUAUAUAUUUUAUCUUGGUAGACCACCGAUUGCCUGCUAGUUUUGUUAGCUUGACUUCGCCCUCUGUAAAGCUCCAGCCAGCAUAAACACCAGUGCAUGCGUCGCUUGUCCUUGGUGGUCAGGCAGCGUGAUGUUGCCAAAUAGCCUCCCCGUUCCCAGAUGGAGCUCCACGCCUGGAGUAAUGGACAUUUCAUCUAAGUUGCCUUAUUAGGUCCUCCACAAUUGCACUAUUAGACCCUGGCAGUCUGGUCCCUGGAGCACCUGGCCCUGGCAAAGUUGGUUCAUCGUUGCUGGCUCCUGACUGACUGGCCCUCGGCACACACAUCCCUGGAUCACCUGCCCCUGUGUCCAGGACUCAGAUGAAGAGGAUGUUGGUAUGCGUUGUCGAGAGGAACUGCCCUACAGUGACUGGCCAUAGUGCUUACUGGAACUCUACAGGUGUGAGUCUGAUGUAUGCAAGAGAAAGUAUUUUUCUAGGCAGUCCUGAAUGAACUGGCUUUAAUGAACAUAUUUGUGCCCCUGUCUCAACAGAUCUUGCUGGACCACCAGUUGUUGUUGGCCAUCACAGGUUUCAGUGGAGCCCCCCCCCCCCCCA